GGGCCCGUAGUCCAGCCUGGUAGGAUGCGGGGUUCACCUACGCCGAGGCCAGGCAGGUGCCCGACUCGGGUCCCUGUGGUCGGGGGUUCAAAUCCCCCCGGGCCCA
rnacentral:tRNA from 1 species